GACGAACGCUGGCGGCGUGCUUAACACAUGUAAGUCGAACGGUAAGGCCUUCGGGUACACGAGUGGCGAACGGGUGAGUAACACGUGGGUGAUCUGCCCCCUACUCUGGGAUAAGCCUGGGAAACUGGGUCUAAUACCGGAUAUGACCUCCUUCUGCAUGGUUGGUGGUGGAAAGUUUUUUCGGUAGGGGAUGAGCCCGCGGCCGAUCAGCUUGUUGGUGGGGUAAUGGCCUACCAAGGCGACGACGGGUAGCCGGCCUGAGAGGGCGACCGGCCACACUGGGACUGAGACACGGCCCAGACUCCUACGGGAGGCAGCAGUGGGGAAUAUUGCACAAUGGGCGAAAGCCUGAUGCAGCGACGCCGCGUGGGGGAUGACGGCCUUCGGGUUGUAAACCCCUUUCAGUCGAGACGAAGCGAGAGUGACGGUACCGAUAGAAGAAGCACCGGCCAACUACGUGCCAGCCGCCGCCGUAAAAC
rnacentral:rRNA from 1 species